rnacentral:rRNA from 1 species
CCCGCUGAACUUAAGCAUAUCAAUAAGCGGAGGAAAAGAAACUAACAAGGAUUCCCCUAGUAACGGCGAGUGAAGCGGGAUGAGCUCAAAUUUAAAAUCUGGUAGCCUUUGGUUGCCCGAGUUGUAAUCUAGAGAAGCGUUUUCCGUGCUGGACUGUGUACAAGUUUCCUGGAUACGGAACAUCAUAGAGGGUGAGAAUCCCGUCCUUGACACAGACUCCCAGUGCUUUGUGAUGCGCUCUCAACGAGUCGAGUUGUUUGGGAUUGCAGCUCAAAAUGGGAGGUAAAUUCCUUCUAAAGCUAAAUAUUGGCGAGAGACCGAUAGCGAACAAGUACCGUGAGGGAAAGAUGAAAAGCACUUUGGAAAGAGAGUUAAACAGUACGUGAAAUUGCUGAAAGGGAAACGCUUGAUGUCAGUCGCGUCGGCCGGGGAUCAGCCUUGCUUAACCGCUCGGCGUACUUCCUGGCAGACGGGUCAGCAUCAGUUUCGACCGUCGGAGAAUGGCUCGGGGAAUGUGGCACUCUUUCGGGAGUGUGUUAUAGACUCGAGUCGAAUGCGACGGUCGGGACUGAGGAACUCAGCACGACCUUAGGGUUCGGGACUUCGGUCCACGUUUGCGUGCUUAGGAUGCUGGCAUAAUGGCCUUAAGCGACCCGUCUUGAAACACGG